GAGAGCAUCUUAGGUCAAUCUCUUAAAAAGGGAUUCUUUAUUAGCUCAAGUUCGUUACCUAGAUUUGGAUCACAUGUGUUACAUUUUCCUGCUCUUAGCAAGCCAAACACUUUUGCUCAAUUUGGAUAUUUUGUGCAAUCGAGCAACUUUGUGGCUAGGGGAUCUGGUGGCUCUAGAGUGCCUUCCAAAGGGCUAAGUCCAACUAUUAUGGAAGGCAAGAAACAAAAAGGGUUGUAUUUUUGGUGCAGAGCCAAGCAUCACAGUGGCCCAACUUUACCAGAUGUUGUUGGAGUCUCCUUCUAAAGAGGAUGGUGAUGAAUUUCAAGAAUGUUUAGAGCAAUU
rnacentral:lncRNA from 1 species